AUUGAACGCUGGCGGCAGGCUUAACACAUGCAAGUCGAGCGAGCGGCGGACGGGUGAGUAAUGUCUGGGAAACUGCCUGAUGGAGGGGGAUAACUACUGGAAACGGUAGCUAAUACCGCAUACCAUCAGAUGGGCCCAACUGGGAUUAGCUUGUAGGUGGGGUAAUGGCUCACCUAGGCGACGAUCCCUAGCUGGUCUGAGAGGAUGACCAGCCGCACUGGAACUGAGCCACGGUCCAGACGCCGACAAGAGGCAGCGGUGGGGAAUAGGGGACAAUAGGCGCAAGCCUGAUACAGUCAUGCCGCGUGUGUGAAGAAGGACUUCGGGUUGUAACGCACUUUGAGCGAGGAGGCGUCACUCGCAGCAGAAGCACCGGCUAUCUCCGUGCCAGCAGCCGCGGUAAUAC
rnacentral:rRNA from 1 species